rnacentral:rRNA from 1 species
UACGUAGGGUGCGAGCGUUAAUCGGAAUUACUGGGCGUAAAGCGUGCGCAGGCGGUUUUGUAAGUCUGAUGUGAAAUCCCCGGGCUUAACCUGGGAAUGGCGGUUGAAACUAGUCGACUCGAAUCUGGCAGAGGGGGGUGGAAUUCCACGUGUAGCAGUGAAAUGCGUAGAGAUGUGGAGGAACACCGAUGGCGAAGGCAGCCCCCUGGGCUGAGAUUGACGCUCAGGCACGAAAGCGUGGGGAGCAAACAGG